GGACAGACGACCGGGGCCGGUUCCCCCUCCCAGCCGCGUCGCUGCCCGCUGUGCGCCGCGCUCCGCCCCGGGGGUGGUGGCGGCAAGGGCGCCCGGAAGCGUGCGGAGCCGGCGGCCGGAGCGAUCCCUUGCCCAGCUGAUGGCGUGAUCUCAAAAACAGUUGUGAUGGCACAGGGCCUGGAGCAAGCGGCUGGCUGGGAGACGGGCUGGUGACUUCUGAUACAACCAGACACUUAAGGGAACGAUUCAUAAAGAGAAGCCUGGAAAGACUAAAGCUGCAAGAACAGGAGCACAGUUGAAAAAAAAAAGGAAAGACAAAAAAAAAAAAAAAAAGGGGGAGGGAAAAAAAGAAGAGGGUUGAAAGAAAAAAACGUGAUGAUGAACAAAAAGUUCAAGAGAGAAAAAAGAAAGCUAAGCUCAAGAAGAGAGGAGAGGCAGAUAGAUGGAGAUGAAAAGCAUCCCCAAAAGCAGCACAAAGUACCAACUGAAGAACAGCAGUGUCCAGAGAAUGUGCCUGAAUGGGAAGAAAGGAAAUCCCUGCUAGCUCAGAGAAGAGCGGAGUCUAUCAGACUGCUUACAGUGCUGUUAAACCAUGUGAAAGAUUUUGUGCAGUUGGCAAGUCAGAAAGUGGAUCCUUCACUGGGCAUGAGGAAGGAUGAUUCCUUUUCUGAAACAGCAUUAAAAG
rnacentral:lncRNA from 1 species